GUGCCGCUGCUGCUCCUAUUCCAUCGCUGCCUCCUGUUCCAGUGCCGCUGCUGCCCCUAUUCCAUCGCCGCCUCCUAUUCCAGCGCCGCUGCUGCCUGCCCAUCCUAUUUCUCCUUGCUGACGCCUCUCCAACGCCACCGCCCUAGCGUCCAUCCGUGGUGCUGCUUUGCUCCUUGUCAGGACAGGGGACCAAAGGCAAGGUGCAGGAAGGGAAGAGGAGAGAAAAGGGUGAAGUUAGGGUCUAGCAAAUUGCAGUCUCUUCCUAAAAUCAAGAUCUUCUCCGGACGGGUUCGAUAAAUUCUAGUGGCGAGCGUGUGAUGCCGAAUUCUCGGCAAGGUUAAGGCAAGUGCAAUGACGAACCUCUUGAUGUGUGAUUAUGUUUGUGGCUUUCUUGCUACCCUUGGGCGACAUUUAUUCAAUAUCUUUAUUUCAUAUGUCAAUUCCUUUAAGAAUCAUGUCAUAAUUUUCUGGUUCCAUCAAAUGUUUAAGAUCCGUGUGUUGCCUUUCAUAUUGUUCAAGUGCCGGGGGUUUGUAUAAACACCGGUUGUGCAAUUUGGUUCUUAUGUUCAGGUUCCUGUGAAUAAGUGCUGGCCCCACUUGUUCGGCUUUACCGGUAAAUGCUAAGAAAGUUUCAGGUGACGUCCGUUUCAGAUAGAAACUAUUGUUUCACUGUUGUUCCAUUAAUUUUGGAUUUCCAAUAUUCAUGUACUUGCAGUUAUUUUUUUCCGGUUCUGAAUUGUGCUUGCUGAGUAUUUUUACUUACUCUUGUGUUUAUCUGGUUUUAGGUACUCGCUGAUCAAGUUUGCAUGGGAUGGGAGUAGCCAAUUCAUGAUGAGCAUGCACACACUUUUGCCAUUCAUUAAACAAAUCUUUAGGCUGAAUAAUUCUUUGAUAGUGAGGAUUGUCACGUGAUCAUUUGGUUGUUACCUAAGAUUUAUUUUUUUCGGUUGUGUUGGUUGAUGACAAAGUCUAUUUACUAUCUUUAAAUUCUUUCUGCUA